GCCCUCAACGAUCCAGUACACUUUUUAUCAGCCAUCUAUCUGAGAGCCGGGCCCAUUCAUCAUCCGAGGCAGUCUCCCUGAAAACAAGACCCAUUCAGAUUUUGUACAAAUUAUCAUAUUUAUCAUCGUCUCCAACUCCGGAGUAACAUCUCGGCCAAGUGUCUGCCGCCUCUGUCUCCGGGGAGCCGCGCCGAGCGCCUUUGCCCACCCGCGACUCCCCGCCCGCCGCCUCCUCCCGCGCCCUCCUGGACUUCCAGCGACCCCACCGUGCAGCCCCAGCCCCGGGACAGCUUCUGCCCCGGAUGAGGAGUUUCCCGCAACCAGCGGGGUCCCAGCUCGGUCCACCUCCUCCUGGAAGCGCGCUGCUCGCUGUGCACGGCCCCAGGAUCAGGGAGGCUUCCCCAGGGAUGGAACUCGGGUCCUUGUGCUUUCGAGGCAGGCGGUGGAACUACUGAGCUAAAUCCCCGGCCCUACAUUAUCUUUAAAAUAUACAGAUGUGAAAAGAUCUCCAAAGUAAAUUAAAUGAAAAAAAGCAC
ensembl:lncRNA